AGAGUUUGAUCAUGGCUCAGGACGAACGCUGGCGGCGGGCCUAACACAUGCAAGUCGAACGCACUCGACCUUCGGGUCACAUGAGUGAGUGGCGAACGGGUGAGUAACACGUGAGAAACCUGCCCCGAAGACUGGAAUAACCCGAGGAAACUCGGGCUAAUACCGGAUGCCCCCACCGGAUCGCAUGGUCUGGUGAGGAAAUGCUCCGGCGCUUCGGGAGGGUCUCGCGGCCUAUCAGCUAGUUGGUGAGGUAAUGGCUCACCAAGGCAUCGACGGGUAGCUGGUCUGAGAGGACGAUCAGCCACACUGGGACUGAGACACGGCCCAGACUCCUACGGGAGGCAGCAGUGGGGAAUCUUGCGCAAUGGGCGAAAGCCUGACGCAGCCACGCCGCGUGAGGGAUGAAGGCUCUCGGGUUGUAAACCUCUUUCAGCAGGGACGAAAAUGACGGUACCUGCAGAAGAAGCCCCGGCCAACUACGUGCCAGCAGCCGCGGUAACACGUAGGGGGCGAGCGUUGUCCGGAUUUAUUGGGCGUAAAGAGCUCGUAGGCGGUUCAGUAAGUCGGGUGUGAAAACUUGAGGCUCAACCUCAAGAGGCCACUCGAUACUGCUGUGACUUGAGUCCGGUAGAGGAGUGUGGAAUUCCUGGUGUAGCGGUGAAAUGCGCAGAUAUCAGGAGGAACACCGACAGCGAAGGCAGCACUCUGGGCCGGUACUGACGCUGAGGAGCGAAAGCGUGGGGAGCGAACAGGAUUAGAUACCCUGGGUAGUCCACGCCGUAAACGUUGGGCACUAGGUGUGGGAUCUAACUAACAGAUUCCGUGCCGUAGCUAACGCAUUAAGUGCCCCGCCUGGGGAGUACGGCCGCAAGGCUAAAACUCAAAGGA
rnacentral:rRNA from 1 species